ACUGUCUCUUAAUUAAAAAUAAAAUUUAAUUUUUUAAUUAAAAAGUUAAAAUAUUUUAAAAAGACGAGAAGACCCUAUAGAGUUUUAUAAAUAAAUUAAUUGAGAUUAUUAAAUAAAAUUAAAACUGAUUUAUUUAUUAUAUUGGGGUGAUAGAAAAAUAUAUUUAACUUUUUUUUAAAAAAAACAUUUAUAAGUGAUUAAAUGAUCCAAUAUUAUUGAUUAUAAGAAAAAAUUACCUUAGGGAUAACAGCGUAAUUUUUUUUUUUA
rnacentral:rRNA from 1 species